UUGUUCAUAGAAAUAAUCAUCCAAUCAAUGUCAUUAUUUUGUAACCGUUUUUUUAGGCUAUCUGUUAAUAUUAAGCAUUAAACAUUAAGAAAUUAAAAUUCCACUUAUAUUAUAUUCUUACUAUCUUUCUAUCCAGGUUAAAUGGUGACAAGUGGACUAAAAUAUUAUUAAUUUUAUUAAAUAUGUCAUUAAAUAUGACAUAUAUCAACAUUUUAAUCAUCCAAUCAAUGUCAUUAUUUUGUAACCGUUUUUUUAGGCUAUCUGUUAAUAUUAAGCAUUAAACAUUAAGAAAUUAAAAUUCCACUUAUAUUAUAUUCUUACUAUCUUUCUAUCCAGGUUAAAUGGUGACAAGUGGACUAAAAUAUUAUUAAUUUUAUUAAAUAUGUCAUUAAAUAUGACAUAUAUCAACAUUUGAUAUGGUACGAAGAUAAAUAAGAAUAAAAUGUAGGAAAGUAAAACCCUCCUACAUUAGUAACCUGACCACAUCUUUCACUAAUCGUAAAAAUGGUUAACAAUUAUGUAACAUGUCAAAGUUGCAAACUGAAAAUUUGUCGGCGCUAGCUUUGUGCAAGAUCUUAAAAAAGUUUUAAUUUUUUUUUUUUGGAAAAAACCUAUUUUAAAAUUAUAAGAACAAUUUUACAACUUUUAUUAAAUAUUUGGAAAGCGUAAGAGCAAUUUCAUAAUAUUGAAAUAUAAACUUUAAGUAAUAUAAAUUUUCAAGUUUUUCUUUUGUGUUGGGUAUCAAUUUAAAUUUUAUUUGGAAUCCUGCAAUUGAAGGGUUGUAAAAUUAGUGGCCCUUUUGUGAUUGAUGAUUGAUGAAGAAUGGGAUCAAAUCAAUUUGUUAAAGGCAUUUUCAUAAUAUGGCCACUUUUGUGAUUAUCUCAAAUAAAUAAUAAAACUAUUUUUCACAAAUAAAAUGAUAGCUCUAGUAAUAUUUUGAGUCUGUCAAACCUUCAUAUAGAAUUUCGCACGUUAAAUAUCUAAUAUAGAAUUUCACACGUGUUAAGAAAUAUAUAAAAUAGUAUAUGAUAAAAGCAAAUUGCUUUUUAUAGUAUGAUAUAUAGAAUUUCUAGAUUGUUUAUAUAUGGUUGCAUUUUUCUUUAAAAGAAUAUUGUUUGUGGUAUGUAGUGUUUGCUGUCGCUACCACAGACAAGGUACCCGCGGGUCGGGGUCUGACAUUGACAGCCAUAUUUAACUCUUCUGAUUAUUAUUUAUCAGAGGAUCCAAACGUGAAAUGCAUGUGAAAAAGGUAAAAUGCAAAGGAAGAUAAUUGAAUUAUUAAUCUCGAGUAAUAAUAUUUAUAUAAGAAAGAAUUGAAGUAAUAUUUUCUAGUGGUUAGAAUUUAUAAUUUAAAGCUAAUGAAAACAAGUGACUUGUUAGCAUAAAAGUAUAAACAAACAAUUAAUAUAAUCAUUACCAUUUUCAAGGCAUAAUUUUUUUUUUUGUCUUUGGACGGAAAUGCACUAUGGCAAUUUCAAUCCUAGUCCUUAUCAAACUAUCAAAUCGAGUCUAUUAUAUGUCAGUUCUUGACAUGUGAAUCCGGAGAUAGAAGGGGAUCAAUAAGUUCAAGAUUU
rnacentral:lncRNA from 1 species